rnacentral:rRNA from 1 species
AUGCAAGUCGAACGAUCAUCUGGAGCAAUCUGGAUGAUAGUGGCGAACGGGUGAGUAACACGUAGGUGACCUGCCCCAGAGAGGGGAAUAACUACUGGAAACGGUGGCUAAUACCCCAUGUGCUCGGCAGUUCGGUCUGUCGAGUAAAGCUCCGGCGCUCUGGGAGGGGCCUGCGGCCCAUCAGGUAGUUGGUAGGGUAAUGGCCUACCAAGCCUAUGACGGGUAGGGGGCGUGAGAGCGUGAUCCCCCACACUGGCACUGAGACACGGGCCAGACUCCUACGGGAGGCAGCAGUGAGGAAUAUUGAGCAAUGGGCGCAAGCCUGACUCAGCAACGCCGCGUGGGCGAUGAAGGCCUUCGGGUCGUAAAGCCCUUUUCUGAGGGACGAGAAAGGACGGUACCUCAGGAAUAAGUCACGGCUAACUACGUGCCAGCAGCCGCGGUAAUACGUAGGUGGCCAGCGUUAUCCGGAAUCAUUGGGCGUAAAGCGCGUGUAGGUGGUUUCGUUAGUCGGACGUGAAAUCUCCUGGCUUAACUGGGAGGGGCCGUUCGAUACUGCGGAGCUUGAGGUCGGGAGAGGGACGUGGAAUUCCCGGUGUAGUGGUGGAAUGCGUAGAUAUCGGGAGGAACACCAGUGGCGAAGGCGGCGUCCUGGCCCGCACCUGACACUCAGACGCGAAAGCGUGGGGAGCGAACGGGAUUAGAUACCCCGGUAGUCCACGCUGUAAACGGUGGAUACUAGGUGUUGGUGGCUAUCGUCAUCAGUGCCGUAGCUAACGCGUUAAGUAUCCCGCCUGAGGUCUACGGCCGCAAGGCUAAAACUCAAAGGAAUUGACG